GUCCUGCUCGCGGAUCGUGUGCGCGAUUUCCUCGCCGAAAAUGUCCUCGUAGCAGAUAUCGACGGCGAUCGGCUGAUUCUUCACGAAGAACGCUUUCUGCGCGAUCGGACCGCGCGCGAGAUC
rnacentral:tRNA from 1 species